rnacentral:rRNA from 1 species
UACGUAGGGUCCGAGCGUUGUCCGGAAUUAUUGGGCGUAAAGGGCUCGUAGGCGGUCUGUUGCGUCGGGAGUGAAAACUCAGGGCUUAACCCUGAGCCUGCUUCCGAUACGGGCAGACUAGAGGUAUGCAGGGGAGAACGGAAUUCCUGGUGUAGCGGUGAAAUGCGCAGAUAUCAGGAGGAGCACCGGUGGCGAAGGCGGUUCUCUGGGCAUUACCUGACGCUGAGGAGCGAAAGUGUGGGGAGCGAACAGG